rnacentral:rRNA from 1 species
GACGUAGGAGGCGAGCGUUAUCCGGAUUUACUGGGCGUAAAGGGCAAGUAGGCGGUAUGGCAAGUCAGUUGUGACAGAUCCCGGCUCAACUGGGAGAGGACGAAUGAGACUGCCAAACUAGAGGACAGGAGAGGGGAGCGGAAUUCCUUGUGUAGCGGUGGAAUGCUCAGAUACAAGGAGGAACACCAGUGGCGAAGGCGGCUCUCUGGCCUGAUCCUGACGCUGAAGAGCGAAAGCUAGGGUAGCAAACGGG